AAACUUCGCAAUGCACGAAAGUGUGAGAAGGGAACCCCAAGUGCUUGCACUAUGUGCAGGCUUUUGCCACGAUUAAAACCCUUGGCGAAUAAGUGGUGGGCAAGACUGGUGCCAGCCGCCGCGGUAACACCAGCGCCACGAGUGGGAGUCGCUUUUAUUGGGCCUAAAGCGUCCGUAGCCGGUCGUGAGAAUCUUCUGUGAAAUCGUUGGGCUUAACUUAACGACGUGCAGGAGACACCUCAUGACUUGGAACCGGGAGGGGCU
rnacentral:rRNA from 1 species